ACAGUAUGUCCAGGGGUUGGCAUUGUGUACUCUAGGUUGCAUGGGCUCAUCAGAAAUGUGCAGAGAUCUAGCAGGAGAAGUGGAAAAGCUACUCAAAACAUCAAAUUCCUACCUGAGAAAAAAGGCCGCAUUGUGUGCAGUUCAUGUUAUCAGGAAGGUUCCCGAACUGAUGGAGAUGUUCCUCCCAGCAACGAAAAACCUACUAAGCGAGAAAAACCAUGGUGUUCUCCAUACAUCAGUAGUUCUUCUCACCGAAAUGUGUGAAAGAAGCCCAGAUAUGCUAGCACAUUUCCGAAAAGUAAGGAACACUGCUGAUGCAUAUAUAUCACCAUCAUUAUGUUCAUAAAUAAGUAACCUGUUGAUAUUUUUUUCCAUUUUAUGAACGUAAGGUAGCUUUGAUAAAAAAGUGUACUGUGACAAAAUUCAUGGAUAAUAUCCAGCUGGAUGUUGGUCUACAGGUUGUGGUGUUCUGUACAAUUUCCUUCUCAUAUUUUAAGCGGUUUAUUUAAAUCUGUACAGCUAAAUUGAAUGAAUUUAAAAUAAAUGUAAACUUUUCGUCUUCCUUUGUUUUGAAGAUCAUGUUUGCAUUCCAUCUUUACAUAAUGCUUCCUUUUAAAAUUGCUUUCCUUACAGUUUCCCCUUUCAAAAAUACAGUAUAAUGUUUUUUUUUUGUUUAUAUCAGCUUAAUGGUGUGCACCUCAUUUGGCACAUCAAAUGAAUACUUUUUUUCCUUUAACUGGUUGGAAUUUUCGUGUAACUUUAUGCCAGUGAUGCCACACUUCAUAUUCAUAAUCUAAUCUUUCUUCGAUUUCUCUGAAGUAAUGAAUUCUUUAAAACUCUUCCUAACAUCUACUUCAUAUUUUUUCUGUCAUUUGUCUGUUUCAAUUCCUGCAUUGUGUUAGAAUGAGAAGGUAAGAAUACAUUAUGGUUCAUAGCUGGUGCAUGCUCUCCAGGAGAUCAUUUUGCAUCAUCAUCAUAGAUGUAGUCAGUUUAUUGUGUGCAAAGUAAUUUUAUUAUUUUGGAAAUAUUACACUUCUAUCCUUUGUGUCAUGACAAGAUUUUAUGUUGCAAAAUAACUGCAUUUUUAUUGUUGUCCAAUUAUCAUUGUUAAUCAGAUCAUAGUACUUUAUACGAAUUCAUUUAUAUCAUCAUUUAGAGAAGUCAAAUAUCUGGUGCUAAGUUGGUGCUGCUAACAUCACGAAUGUUGUCAAGAAGCAUAGAACCAAAAUGACUACUAUACUUAUUUGGCAUUAGAACUAACUAAAGAAUACUUAAUAGGUUGUGGUUGAGUCUUAAUUCUCAGGUAUUAUUCAGUUCAAUGUCUUGUUUAAUGAUUUAUUUAAACAUUUUUAAAUAAAGAAAUCCUGCAAUA